UUUUGUUCUGUACGGAGAAAGCCUGAUGUUCACAUUAAGUUUGCAGUGAACAAUGCAAUGAAGAAAAUAUGCAGUAAUUUCCAAGGCAAGGACAAUGCACCUCCACCUCCACCUCAAUGGAUUGAGGCUAAGAGCCAUGUACAACCCGGAGCACAUGAGUGUGGAUAUUAU